UACGUAGGGACCAAGCGUUGUCCGGAAUCAUUGGGCGUAAAGAGCGUGUAGGCGGCUUGUUAAGUCUUGCGUGAAAUCUCGGGGCUCAACCCCGAGCGGUCGUGAGAAACUGGCAGGCUAGAGUGCGGGAGAGGAGAGUGGAAUUCCUGGUGUAGCGGUGAAAUGCGCAGAUAUCAGGAAGAACACCCGUGGCGAAGGCGGCUCUCUGGAACGCAACUGACGCUGAGGAGCGAAAGCGUGGGUAGCAAACAGG
rnacentral:rRNA from 1 species